AUUGAACGCUGGCGGCAUGCCUUACACAUGCAAGUCGAACGGCAGCACGGGCUUCGGUCUGGUGGCGAGUGGCGAACGGGUGAGUAAAGUAUCGGAACGUACCUUUCAGUGGGGGAUAACGUAGCGAAAGUUACGCUAAUACCGCAUAUUCUGUGAGCAGGAAAGCAGGGGAUCGCAAGCCCUUGCGCUGAUUGAGCGGCCGAUAUCAGAUUAGCUAGGUGGUGGGGUAAAGGCCUACCAAGGCGACGAUCUGUAGCGGGUCUGAGAGGAUGACCCGCCACACUGCAACUGAGACACUGUCCAGACGCCUACGGGCGGCAGCAGUGGGGAAUUUUGGACAAUGGGGGCAACCCUGAUCCAGCCAUUCCGCGUGAGUGAAGAAGGCCUUCGUGUUGUAAAGCUCUGUGGUCCGGGAAGAAACUGUGUCACCUAAGUCGUGAGACUACUGACAGUACCGGGAGAAUAAGGACCGGCUAACUACGUGCCAGCCGCCGCAGUAACAC
rnacentral:rRNA from 1 species